rnacentral:lncRNA from 1 species
AGAAGAUGAAAUUUGAUACCCGGAAAAGGCCGGUUAUGAACUAGGAUCAAAAUCAGACCCUAAGGCACAAAACCGAGUCUCGACGAUGACUCUUAGAUUCUUUGGCAGAUUGGAAAUAAAUCUUUGAUAGAAGAUUGGAUAGGGUUUCUAUGGGCAUUGAUUUUGGGUGAUUUGGAGUUGAUAUGACUUUGUAAGAGCUUUGCAAAGUGGAGGUUUGUUUUGGAUGACUUAGGUUUUAUGAAAUAAAAUAGGGUUUAUGUUUUGAGUGAUUUUGAGAGUUUUGUUGCAGAUCUAUGGGUGAAUUUUUUUGGAUUCAUGAUUAUAGUUGUGUUUAUUACAUGUUUUGAAUUUCAGCUCGAUCUAACGGUUAAAGUGAGAGAUAUUGAGGUUUAAGCGGGUCAAGGUCUCAGAAAGUAGAAUUUUAGGUCUAAUGAGGGUUUUUAAGAUUUCAUGCAAUGUACUAGUUGGAUUGGAGUAAAACUUAAGUGAAAGGGUAUUAGACUUGUUUUUCUAUGUCCAUGAGAAAUUUGAAACCAAUCGAAUGGUGCAAUGAAGAGAAAUUGGCUCUGAAAGGUUGGCAUUAAGAUUGGAGAAGGAGGCCGGCUAACACCUGAAUACAUUUUUGAGGUUUUCGUCAAUUUGGAAACUCCGAU